rnacentral:misc_RNA from 1 species
UACGGAGGGUGCGAGCGUUAAUCGGAAUUACUGGGCGUAAAGCGCACGUAGGCGGUCUGUUAAGCUGGAUGUGAAAGCCCCGGGCUCAACCUGGGAAUUGCACCCAGAACUGGCAGACUAGAGUACGGUAGAGGUGAGUGGAAUUUCCUGUGUAGCGGUGAAAUGCGUAGAUAUAGGAAGGAACAUCAGUGGCGAAGGCGACUCACUGGACUGAUACUGACGCUGAGGUGCGAAAGCGUGGGGAGCAAACAGG